GUAGUCCACGCCGUAAACGAUGAAUACUAGGUGUAGGGGUUGUCAUGAUCUCUGUGCCGCCGCUAACGCAUUAAGUAUUCCGCCUGGGGAGUACGGUCGCAAGAUUAAAACCUCAAAGGAAUUGACGGGGGCCCGCACAAGCAGCGGAGCAUGUGGUUUAAUUCGAAGCAACGCGAAGAACCUUACCUAGACUUGACAUCUCCUGCGUUACUCUUAAUCGAGGAAGUCUCUUCGGAGACAGGAUGACAGGUGGUGCAUGGUUGUCGUCAGCUCGUGUCGUGAGAUGUUGGGUUAAGUCCGCAACGAGCGCAACCCUUAUUGUUAGUUGCCAUCAUUAAGUUGGGCACUCUAGCGAGACUGCCCGGGUUAACCGGGAGGAAGUGGGGAUGACGUCAAAUCAUCAUGCCCCUUAUGUCUAGGGGCCUACACACGUGCUACAAUGGUCGGUACAAUAAGACGCAAGCCCGCGAGGGGGCAGCAAAAUCUGGAAAAAUCGAUCUCACGU
rnacentral:rRNA from 1 species